rnacentral:tRNA from 1 species
GUUGAUUAGUUUAAGUAAAACAUAAAUUUUGUAAGUUUAAUUUCUAAAUAUAUA